rnacentral:rRNA from 1 species
CGGCGUGCUUAACACAUGCAAGUCGAACGGAAAGGCCCUGCUUUUGUGGGGUGCUCGAGUGGCGAACGGGUGAGUAACACGUGAGUAACCUGCCCUUGACUUUGGGAUAACUUCAGGAAACUGGGGCUAAUACCGGAUAGGAGCUCCUGCUGCAUGGUGGGGGUUGGAAAGUUUCGGCGGUUGGGGAUGGACUCGCGGCUUAUCAGCUUGUUGGUGGGGUAGUGGCUUACCAAGGCUUUGACGGGUAGCCGGCCUGAGGGGGUGACCGGCCACAUUGGGACUGAGAUACGGCCCAGACUCCUACGGGAGGCAGCAGUGGGGAAUAUUGCACAAUGGGCGGAAGCCUGAUGCAGCAACGCCGCGUGCGGGAUGACGGCCUUCGGGUUGUAAACCGCUUUCGCCUGUGACGAAGCGUGAGUGACGGUAAUGGGUAAAGAAGCACCGGCUAACUACGUGCCAGCAGCCGCGGUGAUACGUAGGGUGCGAGCGUUGUCCGGAUUUAUUGGGCGUAAAGGGCUCGUAGGUGGUUGAUCGCGUCGGAAGUGUAAUCUUGGGGCUUAACCCUGAGCGUGCUUUCGAUACGGGUUGACUUGAGGAAGGUAGGGGAGAAUGGAAUUCCUGGUGGAGCGGUGGAAUGCGCAGAUAUCAGGAGGAACACCAGUGGCGAAGGCGGUUCUCUGGGCCUUUCCUGACGCUGAGGAGCGAAAGCGUGGGGAGCGAACAGGCUUAGAUACCCUGGUAGUCCACGCUGUAAACGGUGGGUACUAGGUGUGGGGUUCAUUCCACGGGUUCCGUGCCGUAGCUAACGCUUUAAGUACCCCGCCUGGGGAGUACGGCCGCAAGGCUAAAACUCAAAGGAAUUGACGGGGCCCCGCACAAGCGGCGGAGCAUGCGGAUUAAUUCGAUGCAACGCGUAGAACCUUACCUGGGUUUGACAUGGAUCGGGAGUGCUCAGAGAUGGGUGUGCCUCUUUUGGGGUCGGUUCACAGGUGGUGCAUGGCUGUCGUCAGCUCGUGUCGUGAGAUGUUGGGUUAAGUCCCGCAACGAGCGCAACCCUUGUUCACUGUUGCCAGCACGUUAUGGUGGGGACUCAGUGGAGACCGCCGGGGUCAACUCGGAGGAAGGUGGGGAUGACGUCAAGUCAUCAUGCCCCUUAUGUCCAGGGCUUCACGCAUGCUACAAUGGCUGGUACAGAGAGUGGCGAGCCUGUGAGGGUGAGCGAAUCUCGGAAAGCCGGUCUCAGUUCGGAUUGGGGUCUGCAACUCGACCUCAUGAAGUCGGAGUCGCUAGUAAUCGCAGAUCAGCAACGCUGCGGUGAAUACGUUCCCGGGGCUUGUACACACCGCCCGUCAAGUCAUGAAAGUUGGUAACACCCGAAGCCGGUGGCCUAACCGUUGUGGGGGAGCCGUCGAAGGUGGGACUGGUGAUUAGGACUAAGA